AGAUUGAACGCUGGCGGCAUGCCUUACACAUGCAAGUCGAACGGCAGCACGGGGGCAACCCUGGUGGCGAGUGGCGAACGGGUGAGUAAUGCAUCGGAACGUGCCCAGUAGUGGGGGAUAACUAGUCGAAAGAUUAGCUAAUACCGCAUACGACCUAUGGGUGAAAGCGGGGGAUUCGCAAGAACCUCGCGCUAUCGGAGCGGCCGAUGUCUGAUUAGCUAGUUGGACGGGUAAAAGCCCACCAAGGCUUCGAUCAGUAGCUGGUCUGAGAGGACGACCAGCCACACUGGGACUGAGACACGGCCCAGACUCCUACGGGAGCAGCAGUGGGGGAAUUUUGGACAAUGGGCGC
rnacentral:rRNA from 1 species